rnacentral:rRNA from 1 species
CCUACGGGAGGCAGCAGUGGGGGAUAUUGCACAAUGGGGGGAACCCUGAUGCAGCGACGCCGCGUGGGUGAAGAAGAGCCUCGGCGCGUAAAGCCCUGUCAGCAGGGAAGAAAAGGACGGUACCUGAAGAAGAAGCCCCGGCGAACUACGUGCCAGCAGCCGCGGUAAGACGUAGGGGGCAAGCGUUAUCCGGAUUUACUGGGUGUAAAGGGGGCGCAGACGGCGAUGCAAGCCAGGAGUGAAAGCCCGGGGCCCAACCCCGGGACUGCUCUUGGAACUGCGUGGCGGGAGUGCAGUAGGGGCUGGCGGAAUUCCUGUUGUAGCGGUGACCUGCGUAGAUAUCAGGAG